GACGUGUGUGGUCUAGUGGGUAAGGUGCGCGCCUUCCACCCACAUGGUGCGGGUUCAAUCCCCGCAGCGGUCA